GGCCGUUCCACCCGCGUCGUCGAGCUGGGAGGAGGCAGGCGCGUCCACCUCCUGGAGGGAGGGUGAGGAAUUUGAAGAGUUGUGGAUUUGGAUCUGCAGGUGUCCAGCCCCCCAUCCCCGUCCUCUCUCCAGGCAAGUCCCACAGAUUGAUCUGUGGACCAGAUCAAGUGGCACCCAACGUGGGGCUCGACCUGGCAUGAGAGAUUUCGAUGCGGGACCGUUCAUGGGAGUAAAUCGCCGGCUGGCGUGACUGUUUCGGGACUUUGUCCCUGUGAUCCGUGCGGAUGGCCACCUUACGUUUCGCCUGAAUCAUGAAAAAUACUGACCAUAACAUCUCAUGGACAAUCAUCGGAUUUCUAACACGAUUACACCUGUGCACAACGACUGAUAAUCCCUAUCAACCUAUGGACCGUCCAAAAAUGGGACGGGCUCCAAGGAGACUGGUGCCCCGUUACUACCUGGCAGGGAUCUGGAAGCCCUAGCCUUCGAUUUGAUCCCUGUUAUGUCAUUCCAAUGUCUUCAGGAAAAUUUUGCUAUAAGCAGCCUUUGUACAUGUGCCCCUCGCCAACAUUAGGAAAAUCUUAUUGGCACUCCCUGGGCCAUUAUUUUUGUGCCUAGUGGGGUUGUGAAAUGGUGGUAACAUCCGGCUGGUCUCCCCCAAUCUCUGACACUCAUGUCAUGCUCGGCUAUGAGCCAAGAGGAUAUAAAAUAUGGGGGUGGGGCUCCCGCCAAACUGCUAACUGCGGAAAUGUGACCCUCAAUGUCACCACACCCCAAGAACAAGGCUGGACUUCGGGGCAUACCUGUGGCAUUCAUUUCUACAAACAGGGCCACGACCAUAGAAACCUUAUCCAAAUUCUAAAAAACCCAUUACAACACACCUCUCUCAGUGGGCCCAAAUCCGGUGCUGGUCCCACCCAACGACCAUAGGUCUCUUGGUCAGGUGGUAACUUCACCCCCAUUGACAACUGCCUGCCCCUCUUUAAGCUCUCCCCAAACUUUCUCAGCCGCUCCAGCACCUUUAAGUUCCACCCUUGCUCCACACUUUAACUUGUACAACCUAAUUCUGGGGCCUAUGUUGGCCUUAAUCACACCCAACCUGAUCUCACCCAAACCUGUUGGCUAUGCUUGGUUGCUCCUCCUCCAUAUUAUGAAGGAAAGGCCCUCAAUUUAACCUUUAACAGUUCUUCUAGCUCAUCUGCCUGUGACUGGGGCAAUCACCACAAGUUGACUCUCCCUGACGUCUCCGGUAGAGGGACCUGUCUUGGGGACUCCAGCCACCCACCAGCACUGGCAGUACGACCUGUGCCCAGCUUCAUUCAGAGUUCCAACCAAACAAUUACCUCAUCCUUCCCCCAGGAGCAUCUUGGGCCUGCAAUUUUGGCCUCUCACCCUGCAUAGCAACUACUGUUUUUAACAAGUCUACAGGUUUUUGUGAUCUUGUACAGGUUCUUCCUCGCAUAACAUUCCACCCAGGAGACUACUACCUCCAGGCAUCACAAAUUGGCUAUAUGUAUAAAAAAGAACCUGCCACGCUCACCUUAGCUGUAUUACUAGGGUUAGGAGUCGCAAUGGGGAUAGGAACAGGGACUACAGCUCUAGUGUUGGGAAAUCAACAUCUAGCUCAAUUACAGGUGGCAUUAGAUCAAGAUUUAAAAGAAAUAGAAAGAUCUGUAAUGGCUUUAUACAGGCAUUCCUGACGUCUUUAUCUGAGGUAGUCCUACAAAAUAGAAGAGGACUAGACCUCUUAUUUAUGAAGGAGGGUGGCUUAUGUGCUGUCCUCAAAGAACAAUGCUGUUUUUAUGCCAACCACUCAGGAGUCGUCAGAAAGUCCAUGGCUAAGCUAAGAGAACACCUCAAAGAGAGAAAAGGAGUGCCUCAGAGAAACUACCUUCUCUUCCAUGUGGGGGGGGGUCUCUUCCCUUACAUUGCCCCCCUUUUGGGAUCACUAGCUGCUUUAUUGCUACUCCUUACUGUAGGCCCUUGUAUUUUCCAGAGGAUCAUGACACUCCUUAAUAACAGGAUUGGCGCAUUUAUGGCAAAGCCCAUUCAGGUAUAUUACCAUCAAUUGGACAUGGCAGAACAACAAACUUAUCAGGAAAGAACAUCCACUGCUUGACCACAUAAUGAUGUGGUCGUAAUGCCUUGAGGCACUGGAUGGGCAGACAGAGAUGGGCAACUUGGACAUUUGUGUCACACGGCCAAGCCAUCUAAGACAGGCACAAGACAAACUGCUGUCCUGCAGGCCCAAGACGGGAAAGGCCUGGUUGGGGUCACAAAUAGAGCCGUGACCCAAGACAGGUGCCGUCCUCACAAGGCCUGCCAUACUCUUGAUAUUAUAAAUAAAAAGGGAGGAGAUAUAGGGAGUGGCAUAUCUCACUGCUGCCACCUUAUCUCACCCUCCUGUGGGCCUCUGCCACAUCCGCCUACAUUUCCCAUGAUCCUCACAUCUGCCUACAUUACCCAUAAUCCUCUCCUGCUCACGUCAUAUAUCCGGAUGUGACAAUGACCUAUCAGAUAGCACUCCAUGCCCUCUUCCUGCACUGUUGGCCCAUCUCCAUCCUAUAUAAUAGUUGUCACCAUUUUCAGAAUAAACGAGACUUGAUUGG